rnacentral:rRNA from 1 species
UCGCCUACGGGACGCAACAGUGGGGAAUAUUGCACAAUGGGGGGAACCCUGAUGCAGCGACGCCGCGUGAGUGAAGAAGUAUUUCGGUAUGUAAAGCUCUAUCAGCAGGGAAGAAAAAAGACAGUACCUGACUAAGAAGCCCCGGCUAACUACGUGCCAGCAGCCGCGGUAAUACGUAGGGGGCAAGCGUUAUCCGGAAUUACUGGGUGUAAAGGGUGCGUAGGUGGCAUGGUAAGUCAGAAGUGAAAGCCCGGGGCUUAACCCCGGGACUGCUUUUGAAACUGUCAUGCUGGAGUGCAGGAGAG